rnacentral:sRNA from 1 species
UAUAGAAACAACAUCAUCAUCAUCAUUACCGUCAUUCUUAUUUCCUUCGUUUGUUGGUUGUGUACGUCUCGGAGGUGCAAUCUUAGUCUGCACCAAAAGAGUAACAACAUAUGAAAGC